AUUGAACGCUGGCGGCAGGCUUAACACAUGCAAGUCGAGCGGGGAAAUAUAGCUUGCUAUAUGACCCAGCGGCGGACGGGUGAGUAAUGCUUAGGAAUCUGCCUAUUAGUGGGGGACAACAUUUCGAAAGGGAUGCUAAUACCGCAUACGCCCUACGGGGGAAAGCAGGGGAUCAUUUGACCUUGCGCUAAUAGAUGAGCCUAAGUCGGAUUAGCUAGUUGGUGGGGUAAAGGCCUACCAAGGCGACGAUCUGUAGCGGGUCUGAGAGGAUGAGCCGCCACACUGGGACUGACACACGGCCCAGACUCCUACGGGAGGCAGCAGUGGGGAAUAUUGGACAAUGGGGGGAACCCAGAUCCAGCCAUGCCGCGUGUGUGAAGAAGGCCUUUUGGUUGUAAAGCACUUUAAGCGAGGAGGAGGCUUACUUAGUUAAUACCUGAGAUAAGUGGACGUUACUCGCAGAAUAAGCACCGGCUAACUCUGUGCCAGCCGCCGCGGUAA
rnacentral:rRNA from 1 species